AUUGAACGCUGGCGGCAGGCCUAACACAUGCAAGUCGAGCGAGCGGCGGACGGGUGAGUAAUGUCUGGGAAACUGCCUGAUGGAGGGGGCUAACUACUGGAAACGGUAGCUAAUACCGCAUACCAUCAGAUGUGCCCAGAUGGGAUUAGCUAGUAGGUGGGGUAACGGCUCACCUAGGCGACGAUCCCUAGCUGGUCUGAGAGGCUGACCAGCCACACUGGGACUGAGACACGGCCCAGACUCCUACGGGAGGCAGCAGUGGGGAAUAUUGGGCAAUGGGCGAAAGCCUGAUUGAGCCACGCCGCGUGGAUGAAGAAGGCCUUCGGGUUGUAAAGUUCUUUUAGCGGGGAGGCGUUACCCGCAGAAGAAGCACCGGCUAACUCCGUGCCAGCAGCCGCGGUAAUAC
rnacentral:rRNA from 1 species